CCUACGGGAGGCAGCAGUGAGGAAUAUUGGUCAAUGGACGCGAGCCUGAACCAGCCAAGUCGCGUGAAGGAUGACUGCCCUACGGGUUGUAAACUUCUUUUAUAAAAGGAUAAAGUGAGGCACGUGUACCUUGUUGUAUGUACUUUAUGAAUAAGGAUCGGCUAACUCCGUGCCAGCAGCCGCGGUAAUACGGAGGAUCCGAGCGUUAUCCGGAUUUAUUGGGUUUAAAGGGAGCGUAGAUGGGUUGUUAAGUCAGUUGUGAAAGUUUGCGGCUCAACCGUAAAAUUGCAAUUGAUACUGGCAGGCUUGAGUGGAAGAGCAGUAUGCGGAAUGCGUGGUGUAGCGGUGAAAUGCAUAGAUAUCACGCAGAACCCCGAUUGCGAAGGCAGCAUGCCGGCUUCCGACUGACGCUGAAGCACGAAAGCGUGGGGAUCGAACAGGAUUAGAUACCCCUGUAGUC
rnacentral:rRNA from 1 species